GUAGGGUGGCCGAGCAGGUGGCGGGCCGUAAACCCGCUUACGGGGCCGACUGGCCCCCCCUCCCAA
rnacentral:tRNA from 1 species